rnacentral:lncRNA from 1 species
AAAGUAUAUAACGUUAACUAAUGAUUUACAAACGCAUGCCAGGAUCCGUAACGUUUAGAAUGUGAUCCACUUGAGCCCAAAGAGUGGAGUCUGGAGAGAAAGCGUUGAGAGAAUUGACACAGGUUUAGCAAGUCUGUUAGUAACACAUGUUUAGCUAACCAGACAGCCCCAUGGAUGUCUCGCCUCAAUGAACAUCUGGCUGCAUCGGAUAUUGGGCCCAGCUGAGAUCAGAUGUUGACCCCCUACAGGCCCUUCAAUAUGCAUGACUGUCUCCCCUCCUCCACCGUCCAACCCCCACUAAACAGCUGAAUACAGCCAGCUAGUCUACAAUCCCACUGCAGUAAUGCCCAUGGCAUGAUACACAUCCAGAUAAUAAUACAGUAAUAGAGUUGUGUUACUAAGACGUGUAUCAUCACUUCGUCUAGUUUGCUCUGAGCCUUUUCAAGUAUUGGGGACAAAGUCACUGACCAGAUCACACAUGAUUUGGAUAGUCCAUCUGUAGAUGGUGUACAGAUGGUCAUUACUAUCAACAAACUAUCUGUUGAUAAGCAACUGCUUGCGAAGUUUAGGUUUACAAUAAGGGUUAGGUCUAGGUUUAGGAUAAGGGUUAGGUUUAGAAUAAGGGUUAGGGCUAGGUUUAGGAUAAGGGUUAGGUUUAGGAUAAGGGUUAAGUUCAGGGCUAGGAUAAAGGUUAGGGUUAGGUUUAGAAUAAGGGUUAGGGCUAGGUUUAGGAUAAGGGUUAAGUUCAGGGUUAGGAUAAGGGUUACUGUUAGGGUUAGUAGAUAGUUUAAAUGUUACUGAUAGUCUCUAGAGCAUAUACAGACGGAUGAUCCAAAGACCAAUUAGUGGGAAAAUAUCAUAAUUGGUUUGCCUGUGUGAACGCAGCGAUAUAGAUACAGUCAAUCAACUGGAAGGAGCUAGUUGAGGAACAGGAUGUGCCACUGGCUAUUUGCAUAGCCAACACCAACUCUUUAUCAUGUUGACAGAUUCAGAUCUGUAGUAGAGACAAAUCACCACAGACACUGUAGACUAACAAUAGACAUUCUGUGUACAUCACAUGUACAUCCACACUGGUGGAUCCUUGUUAGGUGAUGAUGACUAACGUUAUAGUGAUGUAUUUGGGGUAGCCUAGU